rnacentral:rRNA from 1 species
UAGGGAAUCUUCCGCAAUGGACGAAAGUCUGACGGAGCAACGCCGCGUGAGUGAAGAAGGAUUUCGGUUCGUAAAACUCUGUUGUUAGGGAAGAAAAAAUGUAUAGUAACUAUAUACAAAAGAGACGGUACCUAACCAGAAAGCCACGGCUAACUACGUGCCAGCAGCCGCGGUAAUACGUAGGUGGCAAGCGUUGUCCGGAAUUAUUGGGCGUAAAGCGCGCGCAGGUGGUUUAGAAAGUCUGAUGUGAAAGCCCACGGCUCAACCAUAGAGGGUCAUUGGAAACUAAUAAACUUGAGUGCAGGAGAGAAAAGUGGAAUUCCUAGUGUAGCGGUGAAAUGCGUAGAGAUUAGGAGGAACACCGGUGGCGAAAGCGGCUUUUUGGCCUGCAACUGACACUGAGGCGCGAAAGCGUGGGGAGCAAACAGG